ACUUGGAUAACCGUAGUAAUUCUAGAGCUAAUACAUGCAACGACGCCCGACCGUUUCACUACGGAAGGGCUGUAUUUAUUGGAUACCAAAACCAUCCUUCCCUCGGGAAGUUUUGUUUGAUGAUUCACAAUAACUGAUCGGAUCGCCACUGUGGUGGCGACAGGUCAUUCAACAUUCUGCCCUAUCAGCUUUCGAUGGUUGUGUAGUGGACAACCAUGGCCAUAACGGGUAACGGAGAAUCAGGGUUCGAUUCCGGAGAAGGAGCUUGAGAAUUGGCUACUACAUCUAAGGAAGGCAGCAGACGCGCAAAUUACCCAAUCCCGAUUCGGGGAGGUAGUGACAAAAAAUAACAAUACCGGGCCUUUUUGGGCUUGGUAAUUGGAAUGAGGGAGAGUUAAACGGACCAUCGAGUAUCCAUUGGAGGGCAAGUCUGGUGCCAGCAGCUGCGGUAAUACCAGCUCCAAUAGCGUAUAUUAAAGUUGUUGCAGUUAAAAAGCUCGUAGUUGGACUUGUGUGCGCUGUCCGCGGGUGGCCUGCGCCCAAAAGGGCGUUUCGGUUCGGCCCCGGUGGCGCCUUGAAAUCUGCAGCUGGGGGGACGUUGGCCUUAACUGGUCGGCGACCGCACGCCGGCUGCUCGGUUACUGUGAGAAAAUUAGAGUGUUCAAGGCAGGCAUUGGGUGCAAUUGAAUACAUUAGCAUGGAAUAAUAAAAUAUGGCUCCUGCCGUAUUUUGUUGGUUUUGACUGGUGGGAGUAAUGAUUGAUAGGGACGGUUGGGGGUGCUAGUAUUGAGCGGCCAGAGGUGAAAUUCAUGGAUUCGCUCAAGACUAACUUAUGCGAAAGCAUUCACCAAGGACGUCCUCUUUAAUCAAGAACGAAAGUUGGGGGAUCGAAGACGAUCAGAUACCGUCGUAGUCUCAACCAUAAACUAUGUCGACUUGGGAUCGGCGGUAGUUUUUUCAUUAAGACACUGUCGGGACCACGGGAGAAAUCAAAGUGUCUGGACUCUGGGGGAAGUAUGGUCGCAAGGCUGAAACUUGAAGGAAUUGACGGAAGGGCACCACCAGGAGUGGAGCCUGCGGCUUAAUUUGACACAACACGGGGAAACUUACCAGGUCCAGAGAUGUAGAGGAUUGACAGAUUGAAGCUCUUUCUUGAUCACUUCGGUGGUGGUGCAUGGCCGUUCUUAGUUGGUGGAGUGAUUUGUCUGGUUAAUUCCGUUAACGAACGAGACCUCAGCCUGCUAGUGUAGUCGGCUGGA
rnacentral:rRNA from 1 species